UACGUAGGGUGCAAGCGUUGUCCGGAAUUAUUGGGCGUAAAGGGCUCGUAGGCGGCCAACUAAGUCGGACGUGAAAUCCCUCGGCUUAACCGGGGAACUGCGUCCGAUACUGGAUGGCUUGAGUUCGGGAGAGGGAUGCGGAAUUCCAAGGUGUAGCGGUGAAAUGACGUAGAUAUCUGGAGGAACACCGGUGGCGAAGGCGGCAUCCUGGACCGACACUGACGCUGAGGAGCGAAAGCCAGGGGAGCAAACGGG
rnacentral:rRNA from 1 species